rnacentral:lncRNA from 1 species
GUUUGCAGCUGGCUACUGAUGCAUGGGUACUUCAGGAGCCAAGCCCAGAAGAUUCAAAAUACCCAUUCACUUUGAGAGGGCUGGCAAAGAUAGCCAGAUGGUUCUUGUUGGGGAGUAUGUGGUUUCAGUGUGUGAGUAAGCAAUAGACUUGGAAUGGACUUCAGCAAGAAACUGGAAACAAUAGAUAACAGAGAAAAGUCCACAACCACAAAAAGUACAGGCAAUUGAAAUAAUUAAAUGGUGAAGAAAAAGAUACAAGAAAACCAAGUGUGGGAACAUGUACAUAGAUUGCCAAGGUGGUCUCUGUGCCUGAAAACUAUAUGAACAGUGCAGUUCAUGCGGAAAGAUGUUACUGUCCAAAAGGAGUCUGAUCUAGCUCAAAGAGGUUUAUGUGCACUGACAUUGAGUUCUGUAGCUGUAUGCAGUUACCAUGACCUGUCAAAUAGCAGAACCAGGAACCUUAAGACUGAGGAAAAGCCUCUGAAAGUUGCCAGCAGUUAAGGAAGUGUGGAGUAGAUUGCAGAAGGGAUGAGUAGCUGAGCUUUGCAGCUCUGUUUGAGACAACUGAACUGCUAUGCAGUUUACCAUGCUGCAACUCCAUGUAUUUAUUUCAAUUCUGGAAUAUCUGGAAACUAAUCUCUUACUGGGUUAAUUGUCUUUUACCACUGUGAUCUAGAAAUGUAAACAAAAAUAUUUUUAUUGACAUUAAAGCCAAUUCUCCAGUUAACACUGGAAUUAACCCAUGUUUUCUAUACUUCUACUCCGAUGUUAGAAGCAUGUAAGGCAUGGAAUGUAAAUGGAUUUAGUUAUUUGCAUUGUAACCAGCAAAAAAGUGUUUCUCUGAAUAUUUUUGACUGAAAAAAAUAGUCUAGUGAUAAUUACCUAUUUUUACAUGUAUUAUAUAUGAAGUAGGGAUACACAUGCUAAUUAGAUAAUAAAAUUAAAUACUUAUGAAGUGCUGUUUGUCUA